rnacentral:rRNA from 1 species
AUACGUAGGGUGCAAGCGUUGUCCGGAAUUAUUGGGCGUAAAGAGCUCGUAGGCGGCUUGUCGCGUCUGCUGUGAAAACCCGAGGCUCAACCUCGGGCUUGCAGUGGGUACGGGCAGGCUAGAGUGUGGUAGGGGAGAUUGGAAUUCCUGGUGUAGCGGUGGAAUGCGCAGAUAUCAGGAGGAACACCGAUGGCGAAGGCAGAUCUCUGGGCCACUACUGACGCUGAGGCACGAAAGCGUGGGGAGC